rnacentral:rRNA from 1 species
AGCGAGCGCUGGCGGCAGGCUUAACACAUGCAAGUCGAGCGGGCACCUUUCGGGGUGUCAGCGGCGGACGGGUGAGUAACGCGUGGGAACGUGCCCUCUGGUUCGGAAUAACUCAGGGAAACUUGAGCUAAUACCGGAUACGCCCUUUUGGGGAAAGGCUUGCUGCCGGAGGAUCGGCCCGCGUCUGAUUAGCUAGUUGGUGAGGUAACGGCUCACCAAGGCAACGAUCAGUAGCUGGUCUGAGAGGAUGAUCAGCCACACUGGGACUGAGACACGGCCCAGACUCCUACGGGAGGCAGCAGUGGGGAAUAUUGGACAAUGGGCGCAAGCCUGAUCCAGCCAUGCCGCGUGAGUGAUGAAGGCCUUAGGGUUGUAAAGCUCUUUUAUCCGGGACGAUAAUGACGGUACCGGAGGAAUAAGCCCCGGCUAACUUCGUG